UUCGCAUAUUAGGAGACGUGUUCGUGUUCACAUCUCCGUAUCCUCAUAAAUGUGGAAGCUAAAAAGUUUACUGCUUCAGGUCGAAAGAAACAAGAUGAUGGGUAAUAGCAGAAAAACGAAGUAAGUUGAGGAGAUUUGGUGAGAGAUUAGACCAGAAUUGAGGAAGGUAGCCGGAGAUGAUAGCCAGAAACGAAUGGGCUACGUAGGCAAUUUUAAUGGACGAAAGAAGAUGUUAUAAGUGUGCAUCAAGUCAGCACGGUGAGGAUAAAUGUAACGAAUUAAAAGAUACGGUAGUUAGAGAAUGGGGUUAGCAAAAGAACAGGGGCUCUAGGGGAAACGUCUGUUCCAACGUUGAGAAUACUGCCGUUCUAUAAAAUGGCGUACUUGUCCUUCUUUAGAGAAACAAGCUUUAGCGUACGUUUUCAUAAGAAAAGGGUAUAAACCCUGGAUGAGUUUCAUUUAGGUUCAUCAGGUUGUCGUGAAAUCUGAUUAUCCAUCUGGUAGGAUAUUCGAGAGAGGUAUAUUCGAAUUAGUGGCAAGAAGAUGAUUUUUUUAUGUAUGACCUUUAUAUGGUCCUCGUGGUUUAGUUCAGGGGUGCUUUCCCCUACAUUGAAGGAUGUUUGUCGCCCCCAACGUUGCACUUGAAAUCGCCUGCUAUAGCAUAUUAUGAGAAACUAUGAGAAACAUGGAAUUUUUUGAUAUAUAUCUUUUGCGUGGCCCUUAUGGUUUAGAUGUCCAAAAUAGUCACUCUUUCAGCGCCACCUCCAAGUUAACUGGCAGACGGGUGAUUUUAAUACUAGUUUUCAAUGUACUUUCACCCUGUAAUGUCGAAUAUUUUGUCGGUUAUGGUUUAGUUAAGAUGUGGGCUACCUCCGGGUUUAAUAGGAAUGAUUCUAUUCCAUCUAAAAAAUUGACUGUACCAUAAGGCGAUAAAAGGCACGUUCGAUCAAUACAAACGCAGAAAAGCUUUACAAAUUAAAAAAGAUGUCUACAACCACAACGAUUCUACAAAAAUAACAGUCCACUGCCAUCAUGCAAGAACAUGAAAAGCUGUAUAUAUAACUGCCUUAUCGAAUCGUGGUGUUAAUUGAGUUUAUGAUACAUAAUAAAGAAGGUAAUGGCAAUAUUUACUAAUAUUUGCGUUAUAAAAUUUUCAUUCCAUAGUAAUGUAGCAUGUAAUGUCGUAUCGCAACGACAAAAAUAGCCGCGAUAAAAAUGCGUCGACCCCUUCAACCUCAUCAAACAUGCAAAUUAAAAUAAUCCAUCUUAGUUUUUUACUGUUUUGUUUAAAUAUCAGCGAAGUACAAAUUUACAUAAUUAUUUUAAACUUAAACAUUUAGAGAAUAGAACAUUCAUUUCUUUUGCCUUGGUCGAUAAUGUCUUCAUGAUAGUAUGAUGAUUUCUGCGGAAAGGCUGCCGUGUGUAUGCUGAAAUUGCCUUCGGUAUAUAAUGUAAUAUCAGAGACAUGAUAAAAGCAGUUCCUGCGUUAGACGUAAACAUUUUCUAUGCGCUCAUACCUACGCGAAAUUUUGACUCGACAUAAUCUAAUUUGCGCUGGCAUUAGUAGUUCUUGUGUGCAAAAUCGUUACGAAAUUCAAAUAAAAAGCAAUGACGUAGACAUUAUUAACGAUGUUUGUGAGUGGCAUCAAAUUUGUAUUAACCUAAUUCCAAAAGGCAUCACGCAUUAAGGGUAUCCAGUUACGGCAUUGAUACGUGCUAAUCAAAAAGGGUUAAACCUAUUUCAUGUUUAGUGUCUACUGUGUCGGUAGUUUGUUUGUUGAAAAUACAGGGCGAACAUGCCAACCGAAUAGAGUAAACAAGGGGCGUAACGCACCUUUUGAUGAAUGGAACGGUUUUCAAAACGGAUUCAGCAUUAUGCCAUUAUACCGAUGUUGAUACAGUGGUUUUAGGGCCAUAAUACACAGCGCGUUGCAUAUAAAGCCCUAUCAGUUUUACACAGCAAAUCUAAUCCUUCAAUUACAGUUUGAAAUCGGAACGACUUUUUAAUAACGGCAAAUAUCCAGCACGUAAUGUAGGGGCAGAUCGGGCCAUAAUGGAGAGUGUUACUAAGUUACACGUUUCAUGGAAAUUUAGGGUUUGAUGAAAAUGAAAUAACAGGCUUGACUUUUGUUCGCCAGGGAAUUAAUUUGCAUAGUAAAAAUUUUAAUUAACCGACUUAUUUUAGUUACAAUAUUAUUAGAGCAUAAACCGGAUCAGCAUAAAAUCCCCAAUCUAUUAUCUCUCCCAAAGAAUAUAUAGCAUCCUAAUAAUGGAGUUGAAUAUGACCCGUAUUAUUGAAUCCCUCGUCCACCUUUUGUGAAUUCCCAGCACAUUCCUAAAACAUACAUAUAUCUUUAAAGUCAUAGUAUACGCGAGAUUAUUAAAUUUUUCCCCAGUCGAUUUCGAAAAGCUUUUGUUUGAAAAGCUGCGACAGGGAUGCGAGCCCUAAUAAAUUCUAAAGGUGACAUGAAAUUAAAAUCAGAACGUAUAUCUUCCAAAAAUUGCGUUUUAAAAAUACCGGAAACAAUUUUUAAUAUUUCGUCUUACUAAAUCUUUAUUUCACUUGCCUGCAUUUACCGAUGAGAAUUGCAUUUUAUUCUUCAGGCAAUCAGUUCCGCUUUUUGACACAAGAAUCAAGUGUGUUAGAUUCUAAAAGGUGAUUCUCAGUUGUAGUUUUUGGUUCUCAUCCUCUUCUGUUGUUGAGUGUGUUUGCUAUUUAUGUGUAUGUUGCUGUAGAUAAUUUAAAAUUCGGAUCACGUCAACAAAAGCCAAUUCGAGCAAAACUGAAGCAAUCAGCAAAGGGAAUCAUAGGAGGAUAUUGUUUAACAUAUGAAAGUGUAAAGAAGCACCCUUUUUCGCCUUGAAGUUUACCUGUUUCAUUGAACACACCGUACAUUUGGAAUCCCCCAGCUAUAAUAAUAAUAAUAAUAAUACGUUUAUUAGUACAAGACCAAAAGGCCACAGCUGGUCUUCCACAUGUACACAACAAUAACAUCACAUGAUACAACAUAGUAGUAGAGCACAACCUUAGCUUUUCCCUACCAGUCAUAUUAGGAAGUUUUAAAUUUAAACCUAGCGCACACAAACACCCUCUCAUCGCCACAAACGAACACCCGGCAUCUAGAGAUGCUUCGUUACGAAACCGGACCUAUAUAUUUAUUUUGUAGGUAUUGGAAAUAGAAGGUGAAAGUAACUGCCGAUAAAGAAAUCAAGAUGCUGUAAUAAAUUUGCCGUUUGCAGCCGUUCCUGUAGAGAUAUUUUAAUUGGUUUUCUAGGGUUCGAGAGCUUUAUUGCCAAAGAAGGGAGAUUUUAGUUUCCAUUGAUGGCCUACCGAAUUUUCAAAAUUGUAAUCGGGCCAUUUAGUUAAGUAUAAUGAACCGCUGCUAAUUAAAUGAGUUGCAGCGAACGGCAUGCGAUUAUGUCGUGAGUGGUCUCAAAAGAAGUGCUUAAAACCAAUUACAGAUUCAGGAUUAUCUUCUCAAAUUUUGGGAAUUCUAUUUCAGGUAGGAGGGUAUCUUUUCUUUCCUUUUCCAUAACUUUCUGAGCUUGCUGCUGCGAGUUCUAAUUUUUUUAGCCCAUUCCACGUUUAACGGUAGGCGAUUGACAGUUUGUUUUUCGUCUAUUGUCAGAGGAUUUGUUUUCAUUUGUUGUCUUCUUUCCCGUGUCUCUAGUGAAUACAGGAGUGAAUAUUUUAGUUAUUUACCGUCCCCACUUGGGGAAACCGCUGUUCUCCGGUGCGGCGUAAUUCUGUUCUAGGUAUGGAUCAGUGAUCAACCGCCAUUUUGCCUGCCAGAUCCCUGGAACUUUCCGUUGUCUCUGUCUGAGAACAAAUUCGUUAAGCAUCUGCCGACCUUAACAAGAAGAAAGGGCCCUGGGGACGCUCGAAAAACGCAUAUCGACCGUG